GACGAACGCUGGCGGCGUGCCUAAUACAUGCAAGUAGAACGCUGAAGAGAGGAGCUUGCUCUUCUUGGAUGAGUUGCGAACGGGUGAGUAACGCGUAGGUAACCUGCCUGGUAGCGGGGGAUAACUAUUGGAAACGAUAGCUAAUACCGCAUAAAAUUGAUUAUUGCAUGAUAAUUAAUUGAAAGAUGCAAUUGCAUCACUACCAGAUGGACCUGCGUUGUAUUAGCUAGUUGGUGAGGUAACGGCUCACCAAGGCGACGAUACAUAGCCGACCUGAGAGGGUGAUCGGCCACACUGGGACUGAGACAUGGCCCAGACUCCUACGGGAGGCAGCAGUAGGGAAUCUUCGGCAAUGGGGGGAACCCUGACCGAGCAACGCCGCGUGAGUGAAGAAGGUUUUCGGAUCGUAAAGCUCUGUUGUAAGAGAAGAACGGGUGUGAGAGUGGAAAGUUCACACUGUGACGGUAUCUUACCAGAAAGGGACGGCUAACUACGUGCCAGCAGCCGCGGUAAUACGUAGGUCCCGAGCGUUGUCCGGAUUUAUUGGGCGUAAAGCGAGCGCAGGCGGUUAGAUAAGUCUGAAGUUAAAGGCUGUGGCUUAACCAUAGUAUGCUUUGGAAACUGUUUAACUUGAGUGCAGAAGGGGAGAGUGGAAUUCCAUGUGUAGCGGUGAAAUGCGUAGAUAUAUGGAGGAACACCGGUGGCGAAAGCGGCUCUCUGGUCUGUAACUGACGCUGAGGCUCGAAAGCAUGGGGAGCAAACAGGAUUAGAUACCCUGGUAGUCCACGCCGUAAACGAUGAGUGCUAGGUGCUAGGCCCUUUCCGGGGCUUAGUGCCGCAGCUAACGCAUUAAGCACUCCGCCUGGGGAGUACGACCGCAAGGUUGAAACUCAAAGGAAUUGACGGGGGCCCGCACAAGCGGUGGAGCAUGUGGUUUAAUUCGAAGCAACGCGAAGAACCUUACCAGGUCUUGACAUCCCUCUGACCGCUCUAGAGAUAGAGUUUUCCUUCGGGACAGAGGUGACAGGUGGUGCAUGGUUGUCGUCAGCUCGUGUCGUGAGAUGUUGGGUUAAGUCCCGCAACGAGCGCAACCCCUAUUGUUAGUUGCCAUCAUUGAGUUGGGCACUCUAGCGAGACUGCCGGUAAUAAACCGGAGGAAGGUGGGGAUGACGUCAAAUCAUCAUGCCCCUUAUGACCUGGGCUACACACGUGCUACAAUGGCUGGUACAACGAGUCGCAAGCCGGUGACGGCAAGCUAAUCUCUGAAAGCCAGUCUCAGUUCGGAUUGUAGGCUGCAACUCGCCUACAUGAAGUCGGAAUCGCUAGUAAUCGCGGAUCAGCACGCCGCGGUGAAUGCGUUCCCGGGCCU
rnacentral:rRNA from 1 species